GUUGCUUCGGAAAUCUGCAAUGGCUCCAUAACUACCGUCUCGUCUAUAACCUUGGAACCCCAGUAAUCCGAUACAGCACUUACCUAGCGUACCUAAUCGUUUAGAUCACCUUACUUUGUGUGUGUGUGU